UCCCUGGUGGCUCAGACAGUAAAGAAUCUGCCUGCAACGCAGGAGACCCAGGUUGAACUCCUGGGUCGGGAA
rnacentral:tRNA from 1 species